rnacentral:rRNA from 1 species
GAGCGAAGCGGGAAGAGCUCAAAUUUAUAAUCUGGCACCUUCGGUGUCCGAGUUGUAAUCUCUAGAAAUGUUUUCCGCGCUGGACCGCACACAAGUCUGUUGGAAUACAGCGGCAUAGUGGUGAGACCCCCGUAUAUGGUGCGGAUGCCCAGCGCUUUGUGAUACAUUUUCGAAGAGUCGAGUUGUUUGGGAAUGCAGCUCAAAUUGGGUGGUAAAUUCCAUCUAAAGCUAAAUAUUGGCGAGAGACCGAUAGCGAACAAGUACCGUGAGGGAAAGAUGAAAAGCACUUUGGAAAGAGAGUAACAGUACGUGAAAUUGUUGGAAGGGAAACGCUUGAAGUCAGACUUGCUUGCCGAGCAAUCGGUUUGCAGGCCAGCAUCAGUUUUCCGGGAUGGAUAAUGGUAGAGAGAAGGUAGCAGUUUCGGCUGUGUUAUAGCUCUCUACUGGAUACAUCUUGGGGGACUGAGGAACGCAGUGUGCCUUACGGCGGGGGUUUCGACCUCUUCACACUUAGGAUGCUGGUGGAAUGGCUUUAAACGACCCGUCUUGA